AUAGGUUUUAUUAAAUACAAUAUACAGCGUAAAACAUUGCCAACAAAGCGGUAUGGUCUUAUUGUCCAGCUCUCCGCUAUUUCCCUCCUUCAAUUUUUACUGUACACAGUGGGCAUAGUGUAGCAGCAGAACUAUCAUCUUCUGUGAGCUGAUAAAACCACGUAGGCCUGUGUGAACAUCUCUGUGUGAACGCAGUGACCUGCAGCUUACUGUGUGUAUCUGUAAGGGCCCGGUCAUCAGUGUGCAAAGGAGCCAGUGCGUGCAGAGAUCGGGCAGAACACAGGUAACGCUUUUCAGCAACGCAUGUAAACGUGUAUGUUAAUUAUCC
rnacentral:lncRNA from 1 species